UUAGCUAGCCUUAUGUCUCUUUUAAUACAAGGUCUUUACUCUUUACUUUUUAAUUUCAUAAAAAAAUAAAAUAAAAAUAAAAAGUUUUGCCUUCAUCCGGUCCUCUGCUCCAUUAUUUUUUAUUGUCUCUCUCAUUUCUUUACAUGUCGCCCAAUAAUCUGAUGAGAGAUUGACAUAAGCAGACAUCUAUGCCGCGAGAGGCCAUCUCCACUGUGUUUGAUGAAAUGACUAAGUUAAGAGUAAUUGAAAACAUCAACCACAGGUCUUCUUGUUGGUUUUAAUCAUUGGGUAAAACUUAGGCUGUAAAAGUUUGAAAGCCAAUAAAAUUCCAUUUUUGUCAAGGUUUUUAUGGUUCUUACCUAUCAAUCCUUUAUGCUUCACAGAAAUUUGAUUUCUUCUACUCUGUUCAACAGGUAAAUGUAAUUAAUUUAUUAAACUUAUUUAGGUUUUGCCUUUUCCCUCUCAUGGUUAAUGAUUUUUAGUUUGUGAUUAUAAUGGCCAAGGUCAUCCGUGUCAUAAAGCAUAGUUGAUGUUACCCAACUUUGCUAAAACCUGUGGCUGAUUUUGAAAUUCAUGGAUGUGAUGGAACUUACCCAUCAAAUGUGAUUCUAGUAAUACCUUAAUCAAAAUGAGGUACUUCACUGAUCCUAUAUAUUUCUUUUGGACAUAAACCAAUGGUUUUAUUUUAGCAUAUUUCCAGUUUUUCCAGAGCAUAGUUAAAGCACUUUGGUUUUGGUUAUUUCAACUUUUUGUAUUAUCUGUUGCUUCCUUUGUUGGAUUAUCUUUCUUUUUAUGUCAAUGUAGUCCUUUGCACGAGUUAACUCAUAAUUGAGAUCAUAUUUAAUUAAAGAAAAACGAGUAGAAGGAAAGAUAACUUACAAAAAAAAAUUGAUGAGUAAAAAAACUAAAAGAGAAAAAAAAUCUUGUUAAAAAAGUUAUCAGUUAAUGUUCUAUGUGCCCUGUAUUAUUCAUAGACGAUGUUGCUAUUUUCUUGAUCAUGCAAAAGUAAUAGAAUUUCAGAACAUAUUUGAAGAGAUUGAAAUUGUAUUCUUCACAUUCUUUCAUUUACCUUUGUAAAGUAUACAAAUAUGAAUUUGUUCUCUCUCUCUCUCUCUCUUUUUCUUCAAUUUCAGGAAUGCAUUUGCUCUUUUAUCUCACAGAAACGUUUGUUUUGAUGAGGUUGUAUCAAUUUCAUUUGAGACUGAAAAGUAAAAGGAUUCUUGAUGCUUACCAAUUUUUUGGGACAAGGUGAUGGCCCAUUGUAAUUGAUUUCACAGGAGUAAGAAAGGGUGAAGUAUGUGUAAAUGGACAAACCAACAAUGUAUCUACAGAUAAUGAUCUAGUGGAAAUUGUAUUUGAAUUUUUUAGAUAUGAAUUAUUUAUUUUUUACACA